AAGCUCAGAAAUAAAACAUCAGUCAUCUAAACCAAUGGAUUUUCUGAAGGAAUAUCUUUAGCAGUAUGCCCUGAAAUGCCUUGGGGAUUCAAGCUGUCCCUUAAGCAAUGCUGCAGACGAUGCAGAAAAAUCAGCAAAACUAGACCAUAAUGAAGAAUACUCUUGUGUAUUGAGAGCUACUGGGCUGCAGAUCCACCACUAAAAAUCUCUAGUGCUUCAUACUGAACCAAGAAAAGAAAAAUACAAAAUGAAAAAUCCUGCACUGGCUGAAGGACGUGCAGAAUUCUUUCCCAUCUCUAUUUGUUUUGAUUGUUAAUGCUUGUGUGAAACACUGCUGAACUGCCAUACAGCAAAUUCUCAGCAAGAGAUUAAUGUGUCUGGUUUGAUCUUCGAGCUCCUUUGAUAAGAUGCAGGCCAGUAGUAGGAGUUGGAUUCUUUUCUUGAUUGGUGAGUUUAAAACAACUGAAAACCUUCUUAUGCUAUGUACAUUUUGUAAACUACAAGCUUGAUUUGAAAACAUAACCAUUUUAGAGUUUUAGGCAAGUAAUUUUAAAUAAAUAAUUUAAAAUGUUACUCUGGAACA
rnacentral:lncRNA from 1 species